ACCUGAUUCGGCGUGGAAGGAAGUGUUUCGGGAUAAAUGCUUGAAUGGUUAUUAACUGUAAUAGUUUGAUCAUGAAAUAGUUAGUAUGAAUAUUAACUAUAAAAUGAUGGAUUAGAUUAAUUUAAAUUUGUAAGAAUACAUUUCAGUCUAUGAAAAGCAAUUCAAUUCAAUUCCCAUGAAUAAGUUUGUAUAAGUUUGUAGACAAGUGUCUGAGCACGAUUUAUAACAUCUGAAAUAUUCUUUUUAUACAAACUUACAUGAAUAUAUAGUCAUUCUUUUUUACAUAUAGAUUCAGUAAUAUUCUAAAAGAAUGCAUUAUUGAUAAGUGCUAACCUAUUUUACCAGCUACAAAUUCAUAUCAUGUAAACCCAAUUAUUAUUAAUGAAAGUUGAUGAUGAAAUUUAAAUAAUGUAUAUAAAAUGUAUAUAAAAUAUUAACUGACUUUUAUACAAUUUAUAUAUAAUCUUACUAGAAUUGCAAAAUAUCCUAUAUUUAUAUCAAACCAAAUAUUUCAUAUAAAACAACUAAUUAAAUAUAAAUUUUAAACACUUAAGUAAAUAAAAAAUCAUAAAUUUAAAAAUAUAUUAGAAGUUUCAUUCAUCUCUCAAAAUAUUAUUGAAGAUUAUUUAUUUUUUUCUACCAGGUCAACGAAAUGUCGGGUCACACUUGAUUGCGAAUUUUUUCGAAGUUUACAUGCUUUAAAUUAAUGAGUUUUCAUUAAUCUAAACCAGUUUAUGUACAAGUCAUCAUGUUUACUGGUUCGACCACAGAUCUAAACUUGAUAUAAAAGUUUUGUUCUCAUCUAAUUUAAAAUAAUUUAUUUUAAAAUAAUAGACAUUGAAUCUGAUCAAAUCAUAUAAUGUUUUAAAAAAAAUCAAACGAUUUUUUAUGUUGUAUGUUUACAUAUAUUUAUUAUUUUUCGAAAUUAUAUAUAAUGUUUUUUGUUUUUUUUUAUAAAACGGUAAUUUACAUUAUGGAGAUAAGCCGUCUUUUUUUCAAGUGAAACAUUUUAAUCUUACAUAUGUUUAAUGUAGUUUUUCCAUUUUUUUAUGCUGUAUGUUUACAUAUUAUUUAUAAUUUUUGAAAAUUAGUAAUAUUAAAAUGUAAAACUACAUUUUAUGCCACGUGUCAUUUUUCGGGAGAAGUUUUUUUUACUGAUGUGGAUGCUCUAUGGAGCUUCAAAAGGUCCCUUUUAUUAGUAUAGAUAGAUUAGUACACAUUUAUAAAAAACUUAACAAACUUUUUGAAGAUAUUAUAGAUAUUUAUCGAUAUCUUUCUAAAUUUUAGAAAGAUAGUAUACAUAUUCAGUAAUGUUUUUCUAAUUAAGCAUAUAAGUCAAAUUCAAGAAGAUAUCAAACAAUAUUAGUAAGAUCUUCCUAAAUUAUUUUAGAGAAAAAAACAGUUCUUUUAAUUUUUUUAUCUAUUUAAUGAAACUACAUUACAAUAUUAAUAUAAAAUCUGUGAGAUAAUACGAGGUUAGAAUGAGAUUAUAUAAUUUUUUAUCUAUUUAAUCUUUACCCUAAGAAUAUAUGUCGCAAGGGAAGAUGGCCGACGACAGAAGGAUCAAAGCAGCUGUAGACUUGAUUAGCAAUUUACCAGAUGAGAUCCUCCAACACAUACUCUGCUUUAUUCGGAUCAAAUUGGCCAUCACAACAUCCCUCUUGUCUAGACGAUGGAAGCAUGUAUGGUGCGAGAUACCUUCUCUUUCCUUAGAUGCCACUAUACUGACUGCCGCUUCGGUAAACAAAACCCUAAGUCACUACACAGCUCCGAAGACGAAGAGUUUUCACCUCAAAACCUAUAGGAGUAAAUACACUCCACACAUCAACCGGUGGAUCAAGUGCGCCAUGUCACACAACGUUGAGAAUCUUUCCCUGGAUUUCUGGGCUAAUAGUUAUCCGUAUAAGCUUCCAGAUUUCUUCUACAACAGUUCUUCUUUCAGGCAACUCAACAUUAAGUUAAUCUUUUUUCAUACGAUUGUUCCCGAAUGCACCGUGUCUUGGAAAUUCUUACGGAAGUUAUCCUUAAGUGGUUGUACUCUCUCUGAUGAAUCCUUAGCAAAGAUUCUAACCGGUUGUCCGAUUCUAGAAUACUUAACAUUGUGUCACUGCAGUGAACUAAAGGUUCUUGAUCUCCGCAAAUCACUACGUCUGAGAACAUUACAAAUAAGACGUGACAUGUCGGUACCAGGACCAACGCAGAUUGUGGCACCACACAUCCAUUCUCUCAGAUUGUUAAACUCUCAGUUAUCAUGCACUUUUGUCGAUGUCGCUUCUUUAACCGAAGCUAAACUGGACAUUUGUUAUGUCUCGGUGAACCCUAACUUAAAGGCUGAUUUUCUUCAAACCAUGGUGCUAAAGAUGCUAGAAAAGAUACAAAACGUAGAGAAGCUUACUUUUGGUGGAAACUUUAUUCAGAUUUUAUCUCUUGCUGAGAUUCGUGGUGUUUCUUUCCCGAUGCUCAAGGUCAAAACAUUGACUCUUGAUACAGAUAUCUGUCAGUAUGUUAUUCCUGGUAUAGAAAGACUGUUACAAAACUCACCUGAUUUAGAGACGCUAACAGCACUUUCAAGGGAUUUCAACAGCAUGCCGGGGAAGUAUCUUGACCAAUACUUGAAAUCACAAGGCUUUAAUCUAAAUACAUGCUGGAGAUCAACCUCUUUGAACAACCGUGGUGUGGAUUUAACAUCUGAGCAUGUGGCUUCAUUUGUGGAACUUAUGCUUAAACAUACAAAGAAACUAGACAAGAUGCUCGUACUGUUGGAUGAACGUUUCCUUCAGUUUGAAAUUGAAGACGUGGUGGUUCCAACAUUUCCUCACAACAAAAAUGUCAAUGUUGUGCUCUGCGCCACCAAGUUGAUGGUAUCAGAACAGUGGUGAAUCAUAGUGGUUGAAGUCUUUUUUUUUUUUUUUUUUUUGUCGACAUAGUGGUUGAAGUCUUGAGACCUUUAUUGAACGUUUCUAUUUUAAAUUAUACUUUUAAUAACUGGUGUACUUUAUUUAAUAUUGUAUACGUCGAGCCUACUGAGAACACAAUAGAAGAAGAGUUUGGAUUGUCUUACAAAAGUUUCAGGGCAUAUAUAAGUGGAGCUCAUUAGAUGUGAAUCAGUUAUGCAAUAUUUGCUAGAUUUAGCGUGGGAUGAUAUUUUUAUUAAGUGUUUGACAAGCAAUCAUUAUCUGACAGUUCAAUAAACUGUACAAGAAAAAAAAAGAACGAGAUUCAGAACUUCAUUUCCACUUCCACAUAGACCAGUGAUUAUACUCCCUAGCUUACAAAGCUAAAUCGUUAAAAGAACGUUUAUGGCGCAAGAUUUUUGUAAGGCGUGGAAGAGGUACUACUCCAUAUGGUCGUCGAUCUCACGAGAACUUAUUAUUCAAAAAGUUCUUUAUCUUCCUAUGACUUCUUUUAUGUUAUGCUUUUAAACAAAUGUGGUGCUUUUAUUUACAGUAUACUUAACUUCUUAACAUGAACUCUAUGGCUGAGCCAUUUCCUUGUAACUUUUCUACUAUUUAAUAGCAAGCCUUUCGUCAAAAAAAAAAGAAGAUUUUUGUAAACACUUUUAUGCAUCUGUUCUUAUCUAAAUCACAAAUAAGAGAGACUUGAUUAGUAAGAGACUCUAUUUCAACCAACCUUUUAUAAGCCAAGUGCUCACUAGUUGCUCUCUAAUCAGCUUACUACAUUCAGUCCUACACUAUAUAUCAUAUUCCGGACUUAAUUAUAGCUAAAGAUUUAAGCCGCUACAUAUCUUAUCACGUUUCUCUUUGGGUGCUAAGGUUGAGCAACACUUUUUGUUUGAUGAACAUGAAAUUCGGUUCACUUGUUACUGUCUAUCAGACACAAGGAGCAAGAGAUCCUAAUGGGACAAUAAAGAUGACAGAAAAACAAUAAAGAAGUGAUGUAAAAUCACCUCGUGAACAACACGAGUAGGGAGCUUCCAGACAUUUUAUCUCUCUGAAAUAACCGCUCUUUUCCUGGACAACGAGGACCUACGCUCAUUGAAUUGCGUUAUUUCAUAUCGGUUUAAGUCAUACUCAUGUUUUUUCUUCUUCAUAGAACGAACAUCAUUGACAAAGUAAUGUGCUGGACACUAAAAUUAGGGUGCCUCUCUAGUGGUUUUGUUGAGGACAAGAGCACCAACACCAACAAUGUGGGAAGCAUUGGCGGGGAUAGUAUCAGGGGUAUUAGAGAUCCAAGAGACAAGCAUCAAGUACACAGGCUCUGCUUGAUGAUAUCUACACCCACCCUUCCUGAAUAUUGAAACACACAUAAAGCAAGUCUAUUACCAAAAGUCAACAAACAAAACAGAACAAGAAAAGGUUUAUCGAGAAAAAUCUCUUACAAUAACAGCAAACUCAACAAGAUUAGCUAUAAACCAAGAGGUAGCUUUAUCCAAAUCCCCUUCUUCCCCUGCAAAUUUCAAACAAAAAUAACAACUCCCAGAAAGUGGAAAUUUCAAACCAGCGGACUUACUUGAGUCUCAAGAAAUCCCAGCAAAUGGAAAUUUCUUCUUUCAUUCUUAUGUACCACGUGUAAUAUAACAACUCCCCUAAACUGUGAUUAUUUUUUCAUCAAUUGGAAGCUGAAGCCCAUUAAUAAAGAGGAGGCCAUGUAACGCUUUUAUAUACCUAAAAAAUCAUUGCCCUAAGAAUACAGCAUAUCGCAGACGACAUGAUGACAGAAGGAGCUGAAGACUUGUUCCGCAAUCUACCAGUUGUGAUCCUCCAACGCAUACUCUGCUUUGUUCCUAUCGAAUUAGCCAUCAAAACAUCCCUCUUGUCAAAACGAUGGAGACACGUAUGGCGCGAGAUACCUUCUCUCUCCUUAAAGGCCAACACACUGACGGCAGAUUCUAUAAACAAAACCCUAGCUCGUUACACAGCUCCCAAGAUGAAGAGCUUUCACCUCCUAAAUAUCACCAAUCACAAAGAACAUACCAUACAUCGACACGUGGAUCAAGUUCGCCAUGUCACGCAACGUUGAGAAUCUAUCCCUUGAUGUUCGUAGACCGUAUUAUGAAGAGUAUAAGCUUCCUGAUUUCUUCUACAACAGUUCCUCUUUCAAACAGCUCAACAUUAAGUUCGCUCAUAAGAUGGUUAUGGAGUGCCGAUAUGGGUCUUCUUGGGUGUCGUUGCAGAAGUUAUCAUUGACUUGUUGUAGUAUCUCCGAUGAUUCCAUGGCUAAGAUUCUAUCCGGUUGUCCGAAUCUCGAAUACUUGAGAUUGUAUCUCUGCAGGAAACUAAAGUUUCUUGAUCUCAGGAAUUCCCUACGUCUGAGAACGUUGGAAGUAAACCGUAACCUGAAGAAACGGGGGCCAAGGCAGAUUGUGGCACCACAUAUCCAUUGUCACAGAUUGGUAGACUCUCUGACAUCAUGUACUUUGGUUGAUGUCGGUUCUCUAACCGAAGCUAAGUUGGAUAUUUGCUAUGUCCAAACUAAUAACCCUUUCUUCGAGUUUACCAAACCUGAUUUUCUCCAACUCCAAGUCAAAGUGCUUGAGAUGCUAGAGAAGGUACAAAACGCAGAGAAGCUUACGUUUGGUGGAAACUUUAUUGAGGUACGUACACAUGUUAUUUUUUGGGUUCAUAAUUAUAUAAAUAGCAUUCUCUAAUGCCUAAAAGUCAGUAGGUUGCACGGUCAACGUUUUCUAUAUGGAAUAAUUAGUUUUCUUUAGAGUUUUCUAUAGUUCUAAAAAAAAAAAAAAAAAUUCAUAAAGACUCCAUAUCGAAUAACACCAUUAGACCUACAUUUAUGAUUAGAGUCCUUAACUAUUCAAAAAAAAAAUAUAUAUAUAUAUUAUUAAAAUGGUAAGGAUUCCAAUGGUGCUCUUAUAAGCUUGAUACUAAUCAAUAUUCACUAUAUCUUCUUUGUUUUUCUGUUAGAUUUUAUCUCUUGCUGAGAUUCGUGGUGUUUAUUUCCCGAUGCUCAAGGUCAAAUCAUUGACUCUGGAUACAGUGAUCUCUCAGUAUGUUAUUCCUGGCAUAGAAAGACUGUUACAAAACUCUCCUGAUUUAGAGAAGUUAACAGUACGUGGAAGGACUUCCAGCAAUGCCAUACUGGAGCAUCAUCUUGACCUAUACUUGAAAUCACAAUCCUAGAAGCCGGAUCAAUGCUGGAAAUCGUCUAAAGAUGGUUUCAAUUGGAAUACGUCUUGUUGGUAUGUACAACCAAAGCAUGUCACUGCAUUCGUGGAACUUGUUCUUAAAAACACUGAGAAAUUAGACAAGAUGGUCCUACUGUUGUAUAAACGUUACCUUAAGUCUUAUAUUGAAGAUCUGACUGCAACACUUCUUCACAACAGCAAUGUCACCAUUGGGCCUCUUCCACCAACAUCACAAUAGGGGGUUGAAGUCUUGUCACUACCUCUAGCUUCCGCGUAGUACCUACACGGAUAUGAUUUCUGUUGAACGUCUUUUGGACUACACUAGGAUGUAUGAUGAUCUUCUAAAAUGUCUUUUCUGUUGCAGUCUUUCUUUAUUUUAUUACUGAAACAAGGCAUAUUCAAAGAAACCUUAUAGUCACCUGAAUAAUUUUAUUAAAAGUCAA